CCUACGGGUGGCAGCAGUAGGGAAUAUUGCUCAAUGGGGGAAACCCUGAAGCAGCAACGCCGCGUGGAGGAUGACGGUCUUCGGAUCGUAAACCUCUGUCAGCAGGGAAGAACGGUCACUGUGCUAAUCAGCAGUGAAUUGACGGUACCUGCAAAGGAAGCACAGGCUAACUCCGUGCCAGCAGCCGCGGUAAUACGGAGGGUGCGAGCGUUAAUCGGAAUUACUGGGCGUAAAGCGCUCGUAGGCGGUAUGUCAAGUCAAGGGUGAAAUCCCCGCGCUCAACGUGGGAACUGCCUUUGAUACUGGCAAACUGGAGUGUGUGAGAGGUUAGUGGAAUGCCAGGUGUAGGAGUGAAAUCCGUAGAUAUCUGGAGGAACAUCAGUGGCGAAGGCGACUAUCUGGCACAUAACUGACGCUGAGGAGCGAAAGCGUGGGUAGCAAACAGGAUUAGAUACCCUAGUAGUC
rnacentral:rRNA from 1 species